rnacentral:rRNA from 1 species
GGCGGCGUGCUUAACACAUGCAAGUCGAACGAUGAUGCCCACUUGUGGGUGGAUUAGUGGCGAACGGGUGAGUAACACGUGAGUAACCUGCCCUUGACUCUGGGAUAAGCCUGGGAAACUGGGUCUAAUACCGGAUAUGACCUUCCAUCGCAUGGUGGUUGGUGGAAAGCUUUUGUGGUUUUGGAUGGACUCGCGGCCUAUCAGCUUGUUGGUGAGGUAAUGGCUUACCAAGGCGACGACGGGUAGCCGGCCUGAGAGGGUGACCGGCCACACUGGGACUGAGACACGGCCCAGACUCCUACGGGAGGCAGCAGUGGGGAAUAUUGCACAAUGGGCGCAAGCCUGAUGCAGCGACGCCGCGUGAGGGAUGACGGCCUUCGGGUUGUAAACCUCUUUCAGUAGGGAAGAAGCGAAAGUG